rnacentral:misc_RNA from 1 species
GGUCAGAGGUGUAUAAGAGACAGGUGAAUCAUCGAAUCUUUGAACGCACAUUGCGCCCUUUGGCAUUCCGAAGGGCAUGCCCGUUCGAGCGUCAUUACACCAAUCAAGCCUGGCUUGGUAUUGGGCGUCGGGGACCCUCCCCCGCGCCCCCAAUUCGUCGGCUGGACGGUUCGAAUCUCAGCGUUGUGGUCAAUCAAUUCGCUGGCGACGACGACCGGACGCGCCGUUAAACCUCACUACAGGUUGACCUCGGAUCGGGUAGGGAUACCCGCUGAACUUAAGCAUAUCAAUAAGCGGAGG